ACUGACAUCAGCUGGGUUUUCAAUGGCGAUGAUGGCACGAGCUACCAUCAGAAGCUUCUCCCAGGUUCUCUUCAGAUUUAUGACAUAGAUGCCAUCACUUUUCCUUUUGUAGAUGCACUGUUCCAUUUGGAAGUCAAGGUUGGUGUCACCUAAGCGGAAGAGAGUCGUUUAGUGAAAGAGUGU